rnacentral:rRNA from 1 species
AUUGAACGCUGGCGGCAGGCCUAACACAUGCAAGUCGAACGAGUGGCGGACGGGUGAGUAAUGUCUGGGAAACUGCCCGAUGGAGGGGGAUAACUACUGGAAACGGUAGCUAAUACCGCAUACCAUCGGAUGUGCCAAGAUGGGAUUAGCUUGUAGGUGAGGUAACGGCUCACCUAGGCGACGAUCCCUAGCGGGUCUGAGAGGAUGACCAGCUACACUGGACCUGAGACACGGUCCAGAGUCCUACGGGCGGCAGCAGUGGGGAAUAUGGCACAGUGGGCGCAAGGCUGAUGCAGCCAUGUCGGGUGUAGGAAGAGGGCCGUCGGGUUGUAAAGUACUUUCAGCGGGGAGGCGGUGCCCGCAGAAGAAGCACCGGCUAACUCCGUGACAGCAGCCGCGGUAAUAC